rfam:Triticum aestivum genome assembly, contig: Triticum_aestivum_CS42_TGACv1_scaffold_021427_1AS
AUAGUACUUUUUUUGUUCUAAAAUUUUUGUCUUAAAUUUGUCUAGAUACGGAUGUAUAUAACACUAAAACGUAACUAGAUACAUUUGCGUUUACACAAAUGUAAGACAAAAAAUUUGGGACGAAUGAAGUAGUAC